UGAACUGUAGUUGAGGUUUAAUAUGAGCUUUUUUCAACAGUAGCUUUCUAUUUGCCACUCUCCCACAAAGCUUAAUCCUGUGAAGAACAGGCUACAGUUGUUCAACGCACAGUUGCUCUUAUCUCCUAAGCUUGUAACUUUUUCAGAGGAGCCAUGGUGGAGUCUUGGUGGCAUCCCUCACUAUUUUCUUACUCUUCAUGGUGUAGUAAUGGCCAGGAGUACUGAUUUACCAGUCAUGGACCAGGUGUCUUUAUACUGCAAUCACUGGAGACAAUUUCACUGCAAUCUGAUGAUCUCCAUUUCACUGCAUGACUUCUAACACCAAUUAACUGUGUCGAUAUUAGAUUAUGUGAAUCACUUUCAAAUUGGUAAAUAUUGAUGCAAGCAGUCAUUUUACUUUAAAAAAAAAAAUAAAAAAUUACAUUUGUCCGACUGGGUGAACAACAACCAGGUGCAGCCGCUGAUAAAUUACAGUGUUUUAGUAAGGUGUUAACGUGCCACCAGACCACCUUCAGUGGGCUUUGGCAUUGAUUCUCUAGGUCUCUAAACUCUCCUGAACGGAAAAAUGCAAUUCCUCUUAAACAUAGGUGCCAAACUCAGGCCCACAGGUGUUUGACUGAGUUGAGAUCUGCAGACUGUGAAGGCCAUAGCAUAUGAUUGGUAUUAUUUUCAUGAAACCAUUCAGUGACUCUUCAUAUAGAUAAGGGCUUUGUCACCCUACAAUGAAUCAUUUUCAUCAGGAAAGACAAGUACUCUGAAAAGAAAUAAUGAAAAUGUGGUGAUCCGAGUUUUUGUGCUUUUGUGAGACUUUGUUUAGUGUAUGUGCUUGUUGUUCCUGGUGGCUGCAAGUGUGUUUCAGGCUGGGUGGGGUUCUCGGACGGGAGAGGUCUCACUCACUCUGUUCCACACCUGAGGCACAUCAAGCAAUCAGCGCUGGAUAAAAACCUGCCUCCACCUGUGCUCCAGCGCCAGUGGAUUAUCCUCCUUUUGAGCGAACCUCCCUGACAGAUCAUGGCCUCCCCAGUCCAGCUUCAGCAGCCGAACCCCAGCCUCAGCCAUCCUGUCUCCCGGUCCCUCUUGGAAACCUCCCCUUGAAUUCCCUCCCUCACUGGGGUCUCCUCACGAGUUUCCCGGUGUCCCCUGCUUCCUCACAGCCUUUGAAUAAAUCCCUAAUUUCUUCACUCCUAA